UUUCCCUUACACGUCAUAGUCUCCUUUAUACACCACUGCCCGUGCCUGAAAAUCCAUUGUGCAGCGGAUGUGCGGAGACUGAAGCUUGAUUAAUUAUUAGUGUUACUUCUCAUUUUAUUCUGGGGAAACAAUGAGCCGAAACGGGCCCCGUGGCACCGCGUCGUGGCUCAGCUCCGCGCGGACUGAAUUAUUUAUAGCCAGGAGACGCACAGUCAGUCAACAAGCACGCAAACUCGUUAUGCGAGAACAAAUAAACCCAAUCUUUCUUUUUCUGUGCUUGGAGAGCUAUUUCCCACGCCGGCCUAACAAACCACAGGUACAGCGCUCACCCGUCACACCGACACACAACCAUGUCACGUGAAGCGGAGAGACGCGCCCAUUUGCCGUGCAGUACCUCCACCGCGCUGCGGGGGCGCCCGUGAGCAGCGCGGGACGCUCGACGUCAUCAAGCGGGAAACGAGGGAACAGCGCGAAUCUCCCGCAUUAUUGGACUGGACUGAUCCAAAAGUAUGGCUACACUACAGUAUUUGGACAUUUAUUCCAUAUCUGAACUCUUUAUACCAGGGUGACAGGUACGCAGCGCUCAAGAUGCCAGCGACAACAGGGAACCGUGUGCAAGGAAGAAGAUGACGUUGGCAACCAGUAAUUUAGUUUCUCC